rnacentral:ncRNA from 1 species
GCAAAGAUAAAAACGCAACGUGCGCCGCGCCCGGCGCAUUAGAGCCGGUAGGUAGCCCGGCCGUCACGGCAGCGCCGUGGUAAGUAACCUGCCCCUCCGGGUUGUCCGUUCUUUGUCCA